rnacentral:rRNA from 1 species
AAUGUCCUACGGGAGGCAGCAGUAGGGAAUCUUCCACAAUGGACGAAAGUCUGAUGGAGCAACGCCGCGUGAGUGAAGAAGGGUUUCGGCUCGUAAAGCUCUGUUGGUAGGGAAGAAAGAUAGAGGUAGUAACUGGCCUUUAUUUGACGGGAAUUACUUAGAAAGUCACGGCUAACUACGUGCCAGAAGCCGCGGUAAUACGUAGGUGGCAAGCGUUGUCCGGAUUUAUUGGGGGUAAA